rfam:Brachypodium distachyon strain Bd21 chromosome 1, whole genome shotgun sequence.
UAAUUACUCCCUCUGUCCCAUAUUAAGUGACUCAAAUUUGCCCAAAUAUGAAUGUACCUAAAAAGCGUCUAGAUACAUAUAAUAGAAAGUCACUUAAUAUGGGACGGAGGGAGUACUAA